AUCAAAGGGAAACUUAGAGAGACCAAUUGACCUAACAGUCACGGUUUUGGUUUUGGGCUGUAAGAGGAAACUGGAGUACCCAGAGAGAACAUGCUCAGGGAGAACAUGCACACCCUGCAGAAAGACCUCAGGCCAGGAUUCAAACCCAGGACCCUGUUGGUGGAAGGAAACACCAAAUGUUCCACCAGAACACGUCCUCUAUGUCCAUAUGGCUGCAAUGACUACAAAUUGCUGCUUUUCACAAAUUUCUGCCAGUUUGAGCAUAGAAACGGGACAAAGGGAGUUAGAGAGCAGUUUAAUCAACAGCCUGGCCGUGAUAUAAUAUAGUGACCAGACAGAGGAAAUAACAACUAAACAACUAAAAGAGCAGAUUAGAAAUUAUGCCAUCAUUCAGAAACAGGAAAGGUUUUACCUUUCCGAGCUGAUUUACUCUGCCAAUCUUUCAGAGCAACAGUGAAUUUCUGCCUUCAGAUGGUUUAAUGAGAUGUUAUUCUCCCGUCAGGAGCUACCACAUAAUCCAAUCCGUCCCUGAGGAAAACGCUGUGCAGCUCUUUGAUGUCUCCACCAAACCCCGGAACGUCAGCGGUCCUGAUAGGUGACAGAGAUUGCCUCUCCUCCCGGUCGCCGUGUUUUGGUAUGAGCUAAAUGAACUGCUCCAGCUCCGUCGUGGCGACAGCUGGAUUAGACCUGCUCCCCACCCGGAGCCGGGCCGGCGGAGAGGUGUUUGCAGCCUGGAGGCUUUCCAAUCAGCCUUCAUCCCACCGUCCUCCAGGACAGACACACGCAGAGGCCGCCCUUCGUGAUUAAAGCUCCGCUGUGCCUGACUCAUGCAAUCCGAGUCCUGCAGGCUUCACAACAGCUGGAAUUACUCAGUUGCUCAACCUCGCUCCCUGUGUCGAGCAAAGUCCUGCGGUGUGCACGAGUGUGUGAGUGCGAGAGUGACAGCUAACCGAGGGAACGCGAUAUAUUAAACGACCUUUGUGGCUUGUUGGAUUUCAGGCCUUUGGGGGACAGCCUCAGUCACUGCUGCCAACAUCCACUAUAUCUGCUGUGCCGUUAAAAGGAGGAGAUAAUCAAUCACCGGACGCCCGAGGCGACAGAGAUGUUCCCAUACCUGACACCUUUAAAAGCUUGGCUAUAUAUUGUAAAGAAUCCAAACUUGUCACAGCAAAGCAGAAUCCAGAGGAAACAAACACACUGCAUGGAUCCCUGUCCUCACUCUCAGAGGGAAAUCUCUAACAUCGAGUUGUAGAAGUGUGGAAGAACUGAAUCAAGCUCAUAGAAAAUAAAUUCCUCUGAAGAUUCCUGAGAAGUUUCUGCUCCUGCUUCAGCCUUUCGACAUCAGACAUAUUUGUCUGACCCCCAGAGUCACUCAGCACUCACCUGCUUCCUGAAAUGACCUCAGAUCAGCCUCAGGAAGGAGAACAGAUCUACUGUCCUGCAGCUUCUAGAUGCACCGAGCUUCUCACUCCAUCUCUGAGGCAGAACCCAGACGGCCUGAGAAGGAAACUCACUCUGAGGAGGAAGACGCUGUGAGUGAAAUGGCUGAUGGGAACUGGCAGAUGAGGCUUUCAGGGGCCGUGUGUGUUUGAGCGCUCGUGUGCUGCAUUGUCCUCGCUGAAUGGAAGCCCAGCUGCAACCCUAAUCUACAUAAUGGGAGGGCUGCAGCGAAUAAACAGCAUGAGAAACCCAAUCCAGCUUUCCAAUCUAAUUCAAUCUUUACGUAGCUACGAUUACCAAAUCCUACAGCGGACUGAUGGAUGUUCUCAGCUUCAGCAGGAAAACACUGUGAUGCAAAGAAGUUUUGUUUCAGUGAGGAGAUAAAGCAAAAUGUUCCUCAGCUUUUGGAUAAAUAUGUUUGAUUUGUGUUCUAUUUGAAAAUCUGAAGCACAGAUCAGCUCUCCUCGAGUCCCAGAGGAAGAAAAAGGUGAAACAGAGGAAUAUGGCCUCAAAUGUCAGAGCCGCAGGGCUUUUUCAGCGAAAGGGAAAGUUUCAUGGAGCGUUACACAUAGAAAUGUGAUGUAAAGAGCUGAUGUGGCUCAUUUUUCAGAAUCACAAAGAGGCUGAGGCUACUCUACAUGAUGUAAGUCUAUGUCAGUCCUUGGUAGCGCUCCGCUCCUCUGCACAGGCCCCGGUUUGUGGGGGCAGAUGUGAUUUAGAUGCCCCCACCCUGAGGAACAGGAGUCCUUCUUUUCUGCAGACUGCCCAGCAUAAUACAGUAGAAACAACAGAAGAAGGGGCCUGGCUUCUACACAAAUCUGCUUGAAGCUGUUUUUCUUCCAGUGAUCAGAUCUCUGGGCUCAGCUCAAAACAUGAGUCGUUUUGAAG